UUCAAAGGGGAGUGGAGUUGUUGCACUGUGGUUAGGAGUCCCCCUACUAAUCGCGUUGGCGGUGUCAUUAAAACCCCAAUAAGAAACUCCUAUUUUCUGUAUCGAAGGAGGUCGGCCCUUAUGGACAACAGUUGUGGUGCUGAGGGUUGAAGGUGGAGCGCGCUGUUGGUGGAGUUUUGGUUGGAGUGGGAAGUGGUGGAGCCUCCAUCCCAGGGAAAUGGUAGGACCUCCAUCCCAGGGAAGAGAUGGAGUGUCCAUCUCGGAGAAAUGGGAGAAUCUCCAUCCCAUAAAAGUUUUGGAGCCUCAGCCCCAGGAAAAUGGUAGAACCUCCAUCUCAGGGAAGAGAUGGAGCCUUCCUGCCAGGGAAAUGGUAGAACCUCCUCUCCAUAGAAGUUCCAAAGCCUCCAUCUCAGGGAAAUGGUUUGGCCUCCCUCCCGGAGAAGUGGUGAAGUCUCCAUGACAGGGAUACAGGCCUACUGCUUCAGUGGCUACAACUCCGUGCCCCCCAGCCCCAUCAUCCCACCGGGAGCCACGGAAUGCUGCACCUUCAACAACUCCCCACACCGUUUCCGGGGCAGCGUGGGUGUCCUGGUGUACGAGGCAGAAACCUUCACCCUGGCCAUCCUCUUCUCCAACCCUUACAACUACAGCUUUUACUACAUGGAGUUUGCCGUGGAGAUCUCCCCAGAAAAAGCCCACCUUGGCUUGCUGGAGGAUGUCUAUAUGAGGAUGUACAGAGGUUUACCAGCAAAUCCCAGAAACAGUGGCAUGCUCCGGAAUGUCAAGCUCCAUGCAACCCAGGAGACCAUGAUGGUCUCUGCUGGUGGCACAAAGGUCAUGGCCACCAUGUCCAGUGCUGCAAAGUCCGUCAUUAAAGUAGUUGUGGAGAACAAGGAUAGUCCCCCCCCAUAUACAGAGGCAAUACCACACUUUCGCUUUACGCACCAUGAGCCAAGGAAAUUUAGAAAAUUCCAGAAGAAGGAAGGAAUGAAUGGUCCCUUCUUCCAGUAGGUGCUAAGCAGAGCGUGCUGCCCUCAAAAAAAAUGCUGAAGUAGAGCAGCAGUGCACAGAUGUUACUUCUAUUUUGUUUUGUUUUGCUUUCCUUCUUCUCUUUCUGUUCUUCCUUGCGGCUGGAAAAGGCAAUGGCAGCUGAGCCAGCAAAUCAUGACAAUAAAAAAGCAUUGCAGAUAACAAUAACAGAAAA
ensembl:lncRNA